CACGUAGGGUGCGAGCGUUGUCCGGAAUUAUUGGGCGUAAAGAGCUCGUAGGCGGUGUGUCGCGUCGGCCGUGAAAACCUGCAGCUUAACUGUGGGCUUGCGGUCGAUACGGGCAUCACUGGAGUUCGGCAGGGGAGACUGGAAUUCCUGGUGUAGCGGUGAAAUGCGCAGAUAUCAGGAGGAACACCGAUGGCGAAGGCAGAUCUCUGGGCCGUAACUGACGCUGGAGGAAGCGAAAGCCAUGGGGAGCGAACAGG
rnacentral:rRNA from 1 species